rnacentral:rRNA from 1 species
GAGCGAAUCGAUGGGAGCUUGCUCCCUGAGAUUAGCGGCGGACGGGUGAGUAACACGUGGGCAACCUGCCUAUAAGACUGGGAUAACUUCGGGAAACCGGAGCUAAUACCGGAUACGUUCUUUUCUCGCAUGAGAGAAGAUGGAAAGACGGUUUACGCUGUCACUUAUAGAUGGGCCCGCGGCGCAUUAGCUAGUUGGUGAGGUAAUGGCUCACCAAGGCGACGAUGCGUAGCCGACCUGAGAGGGUGAUCGGCCACACUGGGACUGAGACACGGCCCAGACUCCUACGGGAGGCAGCAGUAGGGAAUCUUCCGCAAUGGACGAAAGUCUGACGGAGCAACGCCGCGUGAACGAAGAAGGCCUUCGGGUCGUAAAGUUCUGUUGUUAGGGAAGAACAAGUACCAGAGUAACUGCUGGUACCUUGACGGUACCUAACCAGAAAGCCACGGCUAACUACGUGCCAGCAGCCGCGGUAAUACGUAGGUGGCAAGCGUUGUCCGGAAUUAUUGGGCGUAAAGCGCGCGCAGGUGGUUCCUUAAGUCUGAUGUGAAAGCCCACGGCUCAACCGUGGAGGGUCAUUGGAAACUGGGGAACUUGAGUGCAGAAGAGGAAAGUGGAAUUCCAAGUGUAGCGGUGAAAUGCGUAGAGAUUUGGAGGAACACCAGUGGCGAAGGCGACUUUCUGGUCUG